rnacentral:rRNA from 1 species
GAAGCAUAAUUUUUUGUGGUGCAUUUACUUGAUUGGUGCUUGGGGAUGUUUGAGGCAGAUUUGUUUCCGUCGUUUUGAGGCCAGCUUGCUGGUACCCAAACGGUGUUAGCAUUUUUUGUCUUGGGCAUUUGAGUAUGGCUCACGUGUAUUUAUUGGACAGAUCUGAGUGUAAGUUACGGUCGCAUGCGACACGUGCUUUUCAAUUAGUUCGGUCCAGUUAAUGCUCUCGUACUCGUUCCCCAUGUAAAAGCCGGUCAUCUAUCCGACCCGUCUUGAAACACGGACCAAGGAGUUUAUCGUGUGCGCAAGUUUUUGGGUGUUAAAAACUUAAAAGCGAAAUGAAAGUAAAUGACUCUUUAGAGUCUGAUGUGCGAUCUUGUAAAAAAGUGUAGCAUGGCCCCAUUCUAACUGUUUACAGUAGGGUGGCGGAAGAGCGUACGCGGUGAGACCCGAAAGAUGGUGAACUAUUCCUGAGCAGGACGAAGCCAGAGGAAACUCUGGUGGAAGUCCGAAGCGGUUCUGACGUGCAAAUCGAUCGUCUGACUUGGGUAUAGGGGCGAAAGACUAAUCGAACCAUCUAGUAGCUGGGUUCCUUCC